AGAGUUUGAUCAUGGCUCAGAAUCAACGCUGGCGGCGUGCCUAACACAUGCAAGUCGAACGCGAAAGUCCCGAAAGGGGCAAGUAGAGUGGCAAACGGGUGAGUAACGCGUGGGUGACCUGCCUUCGAGCGGGGGAUAACGUUUCGAAAGGAACGCUAAUACCGCAUAACAUCCUGCCUUUGAAGAGGCGGAGAUCAAAGCUGGGGAUCGCAAGACCCGGCACUUGAAGAGGGGCCCGCGUCUGAUUAGCUAGUUGGUGGGGUAACGGCCUACCAAGGCAACGAUCAGUAUCCGGCCUGAGAGGGCGGACGGACACACUGGGACUGAGACACGGCCCAGACUCCUACGGGAGGCAGCAGUGGGGAAUUGUUCGCAAUGGGCGCAAGCCUGACGACGCAACGCCGCGUGGAGGAUGAAGAUUUUCGGAUCGUAAACUCCUGUCGAACGGGACGAACAGAUUGCGGGUUAACAGCCCGUAGUCCUGACGGUACCGUUAAAGGAAACCCCGGCUAACUCCGUGCCAGCCGCCGCGGUAAUUCA
rnacentral:rRNA from 1 species